GAUUUGCUGUUGUUGAUGGAAGAACUGUGUAAUAAAGUAUUGAAGUGAGUAAGAAGUUUGCAUGAACAGCAGGAGAAAAGCGGCUGAGAUGACGAGUAUCUCUUCCAUACACAUUUGGAUUAGGAAGCAAUGUGUAAGUAGGUGCACCAGAGUGGGUCUCUGGAGAUCUGUGCCUCACCUUUUGUGAGACCUGCAAUAUCUAAGACUCUUAACUCCCAGCCUCACUCCCAGCCUUUCUGCGCUAUUCCCUUGCUGGCUGUUAUGUUGGUCUUGUCUGAGCAUCCUGUCUUUUAUUACAGAAAGUGAACAUGUGUACCAAGACUUGUGUAGACCUUCUGAACAGUUUCAAACAAUUUCAGAGGAUGUAAGCCACAUGUGGUUUACCAUUGAUCUUUACCAUAAAUCAGAAGAAUGAUGAAAUUUGUGGAAAAAGAUGGGAAGAAACAGAGGACUCAGCUCACAUAUUUUCCAAUGCAUUUGCAUUCCCUUCUCGGAUGCCUCUGUCCUACAGACUUUUUCCCACCCAGUCUAAUCACCUGGUGUGCACCUGAAUUGCAGCCAGUGGACUUGGUCUCUCUCUUGGAAACAACCAUACCUUGAAGCGAAGAGCUGAUGAGAGAGAAACUCCACCAGUCAGAACAGGAAAAUCUAGUCUCUAGGGAAUCUGUCUCCAUUUUGUCUGCAUUCAUGUUUUACCCUAAAUGAUUGUUGAUUUAUAUACCUUGAGUCAGCAAGAAUAACAGUGACUCGUAAUGACCCUGUUCUGCCAUUGCAUAUGCUAUUGCUUGGUUUUGUUACUGCUACCAUAUUAUUUCUGUUCCCUCAGAGUGUUUCUGUUUUAUAACAUGUUCUUUUUUUCCAUGGACUUGGAUGUGUGCAGUACAGUCAGGCUGAAGCACUGCAUGAGAUCUUUGCAUCCUUCCAUCACAGACAGUGAUAAACACUGUAGUUUUUGCAACGUACAGUUCCAUUUUCAAUUUCCUACUAUCCGUGUUAAAAUUAAACAUAUUCAACUUAAAAUGCUCUUCUGAAUCAGCUAGGAGAACCACCUUUAUUGGAACUGUUCAUUAGUUAAGACUGUUUUGAAUUUAUUUGUGUGUGUGCAUCUGUCUUCAGAAAUAAAAACAGAGUAUAGAAACAAUUAAUGUAACAUCCCAUCCAGAAUGCUCUCCCUACGAUAUUGCAAGAAAACUGUUUUAACAAUAACAGCCGGCCACAUGCUGUUAUUUAGUCAUUAUUUUAGUCAGAAAACUUGAAUAAAGAUAACUGAAUUUGACCUAAUAAUAAGACAAUAAAUUAUGUGACUAUUGCAGAUAAAGCCUUGUGAAAUAUAAAGCCUUGACGUAAUGGCAACUGCUCAACUCAUACCUUUGAAGUAAGAGCAGUGCUAGCUGUUUGACUGAAAUGUUGCAGGCAAAUGUAAACUGCAAACAAGAG